rnacentral:lncRNA from 1 species
UUUGAAAUUACCAAGGUGAUCGUAUUAGUAUGAUGUAUUCAACAAUCUCUCAAGUAUGAAAUGUAUCUCCCUCCUUUUACACUUCACCCCUAAGGGUAUUUAUACAGUUUCCUACUGAUUUUCGGACCUAGAUCCGACGGAUCCAACAAGUCUGGGAUGCAACCAUUGGGGAUAUAACUACUCGGCCCGAUUGACCCGUCCGGAUUAAAACCUGUCGGGCGGCCUGAGUCUUUCUCUUUUAUUCACUCUACUAGACCUCAAUUCUGGGCUCUCGGUCUGGGCUGAUGGGCUUUUUCCUUUCAAAAUGAAAAUAGAAUGUAAAUAUUCAAUAUGGUGGUUUGAAAUAAAAUCAGGACUUUGACGUCCACCUUCGGUCAAUACAAUGCCAUGGAGUCCAAAACCACGUCCAAAGAUAAGAUUAAGGAACAUGUGCUUUACACCUUCAAAAUUUGAACUCUCAAAUUUACCGUUGAUCUGGGGAAGAAAAAGUAAACACGCAAUCUAAAACCGUGGGCACCGUCAAACUACCCACUACAAAAAUAAGAAAAGCAACACCCAACACCGCCGGCACAGUAUUCUGGGACCCAUUGCUAUCGUACUGUUCUUAUCCAAACCCAGAGGCUCAAGGCAAAACCCAACCCGAACCAUUUUUCCAGCGCUGCCUAUAAAGCAACAAGCACCGGUGCGGUCAAGAAAGCAGUUAACAAAUAUCCAUCCAGUUUGAGACUUUGAGUUGCAUACAUACGGAUAUACGAUGGCAGACGUGGCCUUGUUGGUUGUUGAGCAAUUCGAGAGGAGGAGGAAGUUGACUGAAGAAGAUGGGAUCGAGGCUAUGAACAGAAUGGCUUGCAGGUGCGUUUCGUACAUGGGGAAAAAGGUGGAGGAGGGUGUUGUUUUGCUCAGGGAUGAGGCUGUGGUUGCAAAGAAAGCUCUUUCUACUCAUCAUUAUCCUCAGACUUCUGCUGGACUCGCCUUGUUUGAUGGCGUUUUCUCUGCUUGAUUCAUUUAGAAAAUCGUUGAUCAUGGGUUGUUUUUUAGAAAAUCGAUUAGUUCGUGCGUGAUUUGCAUAUGUAUAUUUUCUCACUUGACCAUUAAAAAAAAUCCACUGUCAUUUUUGAUAAGUUGCCUAGUUCCGUCCGGCCGUCUUUAAAUCCCCUAAUGGAGCAGCUUACCUAACAAAUAGCAACUCAGUAAAAAAAUGAUAAAGAAAACCUUACCUUAUUGGAUUUCGAUUUUGCCAACCGACACACAAGUUGUAACAAUCUGAUUGUUUUAAUUGAAUCUAGUUUAAGGUGAAUGGUGUUUUGAAAGCAGUAUCAAAAUAAUUUAUACAGUCUUAAA